UUGUUGCGUUGUGAUUGGGGAAGUUAAGGGUACGCCUCGGAAGAGUUUUGAAAUUUUUAGACGGGCUUAAGGACACGUUUGGUAUUCCAUUCCAGUAGAUGGGCGCAAUUGGCCCGCGGCGCUUGCUAAAUCGCGUGUGAUGGACCUUAGCCUGCGAUUGAGAGGGCGACGCCUGCUUAAUCGCGGUGCUCUAGACCAGGCGGCGCCUGGUGGAUCGCCCCAAGCCUUUUUCAGUGAGUCCUCCUAAAUUUUAAUGGCAUUUUGGUAAUCAACCAUUCCCCAAUCAUCUUAAACACGGGAUUUAAUCCCUCAAACACCAUAAUACACAUACUUUCCCCAAAAUUAUUCAAGAACUCUCUCUAGGGUUUCAAAAUAAAAACCCAAGUAGUUCAAGAUUUAACCAUGGGUUUUCAAAAUAAAUUAUAGAUUCGGAAUCCCCAAUCUAUAAGCUUCAAGAAUCAUCCAUUAUUUUCUGAAAUAGAGGUUCUGAGGCACAGUGUAGGGGUCCAGCUAAUCAGUAGAUACUUUCAGAUUGCAGACCGGAUUUUGCAGUGGGGAGCCUUCUAUCAUUCAGAAGGCCUAGUCAUGUCUGACUUUCAUUAUUGUUUAUUUUUUGGUCUACUGGGGGCCUUGUUCCAGUUUUCAGACAGCUUGUUUAGUUCAGAGUAGAGAUUUUGCAGACUGAGUCAGAUAGUAUUAUUCAGAUACAUUUUCAGUUUCAGUAUUAUUAUCUUAUUCAGAUUGACCAUGUUUCCAUUUCAAA